rnacentral:lncRNA from 1 species
AAAAUAGUGAUCAUAACAAGAGACGAUGAGAAGCAGGUGGCGACGGGUGGCGAUAGCGUGGAGGCGGAGCUCCAAGUGGUGGCGAGGAGAUCCAUCGCCACGGCGAUGGGUAAUUGGCGUCAGCGAGAUGAGUUGCCGACAAUGGUGCCUGCAUCCAGCGGCAACCUCGACGACGGCGUGCACGGCCAAGCAGCGGAAGCAGCAUCCACGAGGAGGCCGAUUCACAGCUGCGCGAGAAAAUCGUCAUCCAUGUCGAUGCUGACAACGAGAUGGUCAGCGAUGAGGCUCCACCAUACAAGGAGGUCAGGCGUGAGGGAGGACGGCAUCCACUGGGAUCUACACUGUGACUGACGGCCUGCGGGCUCGAUACGGCGGCAUGGUGGCUACCUUGAUCCUGGACAGCUUGGGGACGAACAGGUGCUGGCCCAGACGCAUGCGGCACCCACAGCCACGACGGGGGAGGCGGCACUUGAACUGGUAGCUUAUUGUUUUCUUGUUGCUAUUCUAAUUCCUGUUCUCU